GGCUAACUCUGUGCCAGCAGCCGCGGUAAUACAGAGGGUGCAAGCGUUAAUCGGAAUUACUGGGCGUAAAGCGAGCGUAGGUGGCUUGAUAAGUCAGAUGUGAAAUCCCCGGGCUUAACCUGGGAACUGCAUCUGAUACUGUUAGGCUAGAAUAGGUGAGAGGAAGGUAGAAUUUCAGGUGUAGCGGUGAAAUGCGUAGAGAUCUGGAGGAAUACCGAUGGCGAAGGCAGCCUUCUGGCAUCAUACUGACACUGAGGCUCGAAAGCGUGGGUAGCAAACAGGAUUAGAUACCCUGGUAGUCCACGCCGUAAACGAUGUCUACUAGUCGUUGGGUCCCUUGAGGACUUAGUGACGCAGCUAACGCAAUAAGUAGACCGCCUGGGGAGUACGGCCGCAAGGUUAAAACUCAAAUGAAUUGACGGGGGCCCGCACAAGCGGUGGAGCAUGUGGUUUAAUUCGAUGCAACGCGAAGAACCUUACCUGGUCUUGACAUACCCAGAAUCUUGUAGAGAUACGGGAGUGCCUUCGGGAAUUAGAAUACAGGUGCUGCAUGGCUGUCGUCAGCUCGUGUCGUGAGAUGUUGGGUUAAGUCCCGCAACGAGCGCAACCCUUGUCCUUAGUUACCAGCGGGUUAAGCCGGGAACUCUAAGGAUACUGCCAGUGACAAACUGGAGGAAGGCGGGGACGACGUCAAGUCAUCAUGGCCCUUACGACCAGGGCUACACACGUGCUACAAUGGUAGGUACAGAGGGCAGCUACACAGCGAUGUGAUGCGAAUCUUUCAAAGCCUAUCGUAGUCCAGAUUGGAGUCUGCAACUCGACUCCAUGAAGUAGGAAUCGCUAGUAAUCGCGGAUCAGAAUGCCGCGGUGAAUACGUUCCCGGGCCUUGUACACACCGCCCGUCACACCAUGGGAGUUGAUUGCACCAGAAGUGGUUAGCCUAACGUAAGAGGGCG
rnacentral:rRNA from 1 species